GUUCAUUGCUCUGUUUGCUCUUUUAAGGACAAGACCUUUUCCACCUUUCUUUGCUGAGUGCGUCCACAUGAAAAACCACUCGACAGAACCUGUGCUAAUAAAAACCUUGAAGUGGAA